GAGUUUGAUCCUGGCUCAGGAUGAACGCUGGCGGCGUGCUUAACACAUGCAAGUCGAGCGAAGCGUAUUAGCGGAAGUUUUCGGAUGGAAGCGGAUAUGACUUAGCGGCGGACGGGUGAGUAACGCGUGGAUAACCUGCCUCAUACAGGGGGAUAACAGUUAGAAAUGACUGCUAAUACCGCAUAAGCGCACAGGACCGCAUGGUCUGGUGUGAAAAACUCCGGUGGUAUGGGAUGGAUCCGCGUCUGAUUAGCUGGUUGGUGAGGUAACGGCCCACCAAGGCGACGAUCAGUAGCCGACCUGAGAGGGUGGCCGGCCACAUUGGGACUGAGACACGGCCCAAACUCCUACGGGAGGCAGCAGUGGGGAAUAUUGCACAAUGGGGGAAACCCUGAUGCAGCAACGCCGCGUGAGUGAAGAAGUAAUUCGUUAUGUAAAGCUCUAUCAGCAGGGAAGAAAAUGACGGUACCUGAGUAAGCAGCCCCGGCUAACUACGUGCCAGCAGCCGCGGUAAUACGUAGGGGGCAAGCGUUAUCCGGAUUUACUGGGUGUAAAGGGAGCGUAGACGGUUAUGCAAGUCUGAAGUGAAAUGCCAGUGCUCAACACUGGAACUGCUUUGGAAACUGUGUAACUGGAGUGCAGGAGAGGUAAGUGGAAUUCCUAGUGUAGCG
rnacentral:rRNA from 1 species